rnacentral:rRNA from 1 species
CCUACGGGAGGCAGCAGUGGGGAAUAUUGGACAAUGGGCGCAAGCCUGAUCCAGCAAUGCCGCGUGGAUGAAGAAGGUUUUCGGAUUGUAAAGUCCUUUCGGCGGGGACGAUGAUGGCGGUACCCGCAGAAGAAGCCCCGGCUAACUUCGUGCCAGCAGCCGCGGUAAUACGAAGGGGGCUAGCGUUGCUCGGAAUGACUGGGCGUAAAGGGCGCGUAGGCGGACAUUUUAGUCAGACGUGAAAUUCCUGGGCUCAACCUGGGGGCUGCGUUUGAUACGGGAUGUCUAGAGUUUGGAAGAGGGUCGUGGAAUUCCCAGUGUAGAGGUGAAAUUCGUAGAUAUUGGGAAGAACACCGGUGGCGAAGGCGGCGACCUGGUCCUUGACUGACGCUGAGGCGCGAAAGCGUGGGGAGCAAACAGGAUUAGAUACCCUGGUAGUCCACGCUGUAAACGAUGUGCGCUGGAUGUUGGGUGACCUAGUCACUCAGUGUCGUAGCUAACGCGGUAAGCGCACCGCCUGGGGAGUACGGCCGCAAGGUUGAAACUANAAGAAUGACG